GGAAAGGAAUGGGGAUGGAGCCUAAUGGCGCUAACAACGCUAAGGGCACGGGUUCGAUUCCCGUUCGGUCCC
rnacentral:tRNA from 1 species